AACGAACGCUGGCGGCAUGCCUAACACAUGCAAGUCGAACGAGAACACCGGGACUUUUGGCCCCUGAGUGUGUCACGCGUGGGAACAUGAACAUAGGUUCGGAAUACCUCUAAGACUGGGGUGCUAAUACCGGACAAUGUCUUCUGCCCAAAGAUUUAUUGCAUUUGGUUGGUCCGGCGUUGGAUUAGGUGGUUGGUACGGUAAUAGCCUACUACGGCGACGAUGCAUAGCUUGUUUGUGAGGAUGAUCAGCCACACUGGGAUUAAGACCCGGCCCGGACUCCUACGGGAGGCAGCAGUGGGGAAUAGUGCACAGUGGGCUGAGUGAUGAACCUGCACGGCCGGGUGAGUGAUGAAGGCCGUAGGGAUGUAAAGCGCUUUUAACCGGGAUGAUAAUGACGGUACCGGGAGAAUAAGCCCCGGCUAACUACGUG
rnacentral:rRNA from 1 species